ensembl:lncRNA
GGUGCGCCUGGCUUAGAGCCCCGUCGACCCCUAGUAACCUGCCGGUGCAUUUUGUACCUUCUAAAUAGAGCGCAUGCUGGCUUAUGCACGAUGAUGCGGUCUCUCUGGAAUCCUGGCAGGCAGAUUCUUUACCACUGAGCCAGCCGGGAAGUCCAGAUGCCACAGGCAACUAAAGCCUGAGAGCCACAACUACUGUCCAUGUUCUAGGGCCCAAGAGCCAAAACUACUGACGCCUGAGUGCCUAGAGCCUGUGCUAUGCACAGAGAGGCCACUGCAACGAGAAGCCCGUGCACAGCAACCGAGACCCAGCACAGCCAAAUGUAAACAAAUAUUUAAAUGCUAAUGUCUUCCUUUGGCACCUCUGUGAAUAUCUUGUAUCUGAAGGGUGCACACCUCUCUUCAGAGAACAGGAUAUAUCAAAAAACAGAAUUGCUGAGUUGAGGGGCAUGAGAUCCCCAUAUUGCUCUCCCAAGCGCUUGUUCCAGUUUACAUUCCCUUGCCUUCCUGUUUUUACUAAAACUUGAUUUUAAUUUUUGCCAGUGAAAAGUGUGUGAAAGAGCUUCUAAUUGUUUAAUUUGCAUUACUAGCUUGGGCUUAAUUUGCAUUUAAUUACAAUUGAGUCAGCACUUUUUAUGUAUUUAUCAGCCAUUAAAAUUUCCUCAUUUUUUUUUUAAGUGUUUCUUUUGUUUAUCUGUUUGUUUGUUGGCUGCACCAGGUAGCAUUCGGGAUCUUAUUGACCAGGGAUCAAACCUGUGUCCCCUGCGUUGGGAGCUCAGAGUCCUAACACCGGAAUACCAGGGAAGUCCAAAAUUACCUCAUCUUUGAAUUGCCUGUUUAUAUCCCUUGUGGGUUUUUUAGAUUAUUUGUCUUUGUCAUGCUCAUUUGUAGGAAUCUACUUUUUCUUUUUUCUUAAUUUUUUCAUUGAUCUUAUUAAUUUUUCUUAAUUUCAUUAAUUUCUGUCUUUUAUUAUUUCUGACUAUCCAUAAACUUUGGGCAUACCUUUCAUUUUCUGACCUCUCAAGGUGAACACUUAGCUAAUUCAUUUUCAGUCUGUCUUAUUUUCUAAUAUAGCAUCAACAUUUAAGGUCAUACUUUCUCUCUAGUUACUUAGCUGAAUCUUACAGCUUUUAAAAAGGUAUUUAACAGCUUUUGAUCUAUAGUUUUUCAUUGGUG